rnacentral:lncRNA from 1 species
ACAACACUGACUUAGUGUUAUCCCAGGCAAGCCCCGGUGCAUUUGCCACCUCCUUGUUCUUUUAAAACUUUUAUCACUUAUAUGCCGCAUUAGGUGAUAGGAGUUGAGUGAUGAAACCGUUGAUGCAUUGCUAUUCCUUGGAAUUUGAUUAUCCUCCUUGAUACCUGUAUUACAAAAAGAACUAAUAAGGCUUAGCCCUGCCUAGAAAAUUAAAACUUGUUUCUUUUUAAAAGAAUGAUGUGUGACACUGGGUAUGGGUUUGUUUUAUGAGAAAUGACUUGUAAUGGUGAGAGCAUCAUCUGCAGUGAUGAAUUCAUCAUUCAAGUAUGGUACCUCUGUUAGGUACAUGGUUUUGGGAAGGAAAAUAAUAAGAUGAGACCAGACGUUGAGCAGGAAAGGUCGCCCGUCUGUGUCGAUUAAGGACCGACCGAAAGUAGGCUUACUGAUCUAGGACCCUUUAACUGGCCACAUGCCUCGUCAUGGGUAAGCUUAGCCUCGGCUGGACCAAUACCAGAAAGGCCGACCCGCAAUGGGAGUGGAGAGAUGGCGAGAGUAUCGUGUAUCCACCUAGCAAGAGGCUGGAUGGUGGGGUACUGAGCUCUCGGUUGGCGGGGACCCGUUCUGGUCUUGAGAAACCCGUGGGCGAGUUGACAUAUGCAAGGGUUAAGUGCUACAUAUGUCGUGUGGUUGGAGAUCCUCAGCUGAGUAUUAAUCGAUUCGGAUCACCGUUACUUCUCGGAUAUGAAGACUGGAUCACUGCCCUGCAUCGUAGAUAACAAGUGAAACUAAAGCUCCUAAAAUGAAGCUAGUGUAGGACAAGUGAAUGCUCUAGAUUAGGCAAAUCUAGAUUAAGGAAAAGUACUUAACUUGUGAAGUAAAAUUCUGGCAUAAGGAUCCAUUGCUAGUAAACUUUUUCUUUUUGCAAAAACGAGUCUUUGAAAUUUGAGAAGCUUUACCUUGAUUCCCAACAAACCAGCAUACCCUUGAGAGUCUUUUCUUUAGUCGGGUAAGUCUUGCUGAGUAAUUGCGUACUCAGGGUUUUAUUCCCUGUUGUUUUUCAGGUUAUAAUUUUGUACUGUUGUGGAUGCUGCUAAGUGCCGGUGGGCUCGGCCUUCUUAUAUAAGUAUAUCUCAUCUUUAGCUUCUUUAUUGAGGAUUGUCAUUUAAGCUAGCAUGUAUUUGAAAACCUAUAAAUAUUUUAUACAUUUUAAAUUGUAAUUUUUUUGAAUCACUUUCGUUUGUAAUCACUCCGAUGAUAUAUAUUGUAAUCUUGUUAUAACUUGUAAAUGUUGUAACUUGUAAUCAUUUUGUAAUAAAGAAUUUCCGCUGCAAAUGUUGGUGUGUGAUUUUUGUUUACUUAAUCCUGCGAUCUUGGCGGUAAGUCGUUUAUCCGGGGUCCUUGGGACACUCGAACAGAUCCUGUUAAGUUGUUUGGUACACAUGCAUAGCCGUCUGAGGUCUUUGAGACAAGGACAGGUGCAUGUGGGCCCGAUAACUUGGGAGGUUCUGCGACAGCUGGUAUCGGAGCUCGAUUAAGUAUAAUACAGUCACAUACGUAUUUUCAAAACAAAAUUUUGGUUUUGGAAAAUCUAUUUUCAACUAAACACAUUGUUUGGUUUUGAAAAACAACUUUGAAAAAUUAUAAUGCUAGCGACAUCCUCUAUUAAGCCCUAAGUUAAAGAGUACUAGGUGGCUUAGUUCAGAAUACUAACCCACAACCUGGGAAGGGUAAUGCAUACAUGUGUAAUGUUAUUUUUAAGGCCAUUCAAUUUUGAAUGGAUCGACGCUCAGGUAAGGUGAGAUGUGAGAGUGUGACCGGACAAACGUCGGUCUAGGGGAGAGCAUAAACAUCACUUGAUUAUAUACAUGUUUUACAUAUGUAUAUAUGAAGGCUGCGAUAUGGAAUAUUUACUUUUCUGGGAUUCAGUACCCCAUGGAUGUGUAUGGGUAUACAAACAUGGGAAUACUGAGAAGUGUAAUGUAUUUGCAACGACGCACCUACGCUCAGGUAAAAAGGUGAGUUACCAUAAUGGGCUGCCCUGUGGUUAAAGUGUGGCAGUGGCGCCUAUGCAUGGCUCGGUGCUUAAUGAGGAGCUGGCCUCCAUAUAGAAAUAUAUGGAGUAUAUACUGAGAUAAACUGUCAUGUGGGAAUUGCAUCAUUGGGAAAUGGGCUGUGAUGGAAUUUUCUGCAGGUACACUAACUUCGAACUCGUAUGUGUAGCUGACGACUACCAACAUAUCGAGAGAGAACGUAGAUAUGCCACCGAUAUAGAACGCUAUUGCCAAAUUAUGUUGGCGAAAUUCGUGAGGACGAAUAGGACGAUCAUGCAUCCUGAUUGUUGCAUUGUGUUUGUUGUUUGUGCACAAAUAUGCUUCUCUCACCCUUAUUCUAAUAAUUGGUGAUUGUGAACGAACAUGCUUUUCUCAUCUUUAUUCCGAUAAUAAAUAAUUGGAAAAUAUGUGACGCAUUACUGUCCUAUAAGCAAUUUCUAGUCUUGUUUGUUGGGUCCUUUAGACAUGCCUUUAUGUGGUUUGUGGUUCCUCUUAAUUUGACCGCUAGUCCAACUUGUGUUUGUUCUGGUGUGUUUGUGUCGGUAGAAUGUUGGUGGUAUGUUUGUGUAAACUAAAAAUUUAGCCAUGUCCUCAUCUAGGGGCCAUGACCCAAAUCGAUGUUAAUUCCCCGAAGUUUUUUCCCAGUUUCCAAAAGUGGACGAGUCUGAAUUUCUAUCGUUACUUUAGGGCCAAGCUUAUCUAAAUAGGUGUUUAGGUAAUCUUAUCGUAGAAAAUAAAUGCACCUGAGCUUAAGAUAAGGAUAUCGAGUCUAUGAUCUUGACAAUCCACUUGUAGCUCUCUUAUGGUCAUGUUUUCCCCUUAAGCUUUGACUUGUUCGGUUGGUGCAAACUGGUAUCCCUAUUCCAGUUUGCCUCUGCUUGAGGAUCACAUUGUCGGUUUCUCAAUCUAACCUAGGAAAGGAAUGCCUAGUCGUUUUCUCGAAUUUAAUGCCAAUGGUUUCCUCAUAUCUCUCGAAGGCACAUUAAUUUAAUCUUCCGAUUGUUUUUCCUGCGUAUCUAAUCAAACACUAAUUGUUGCCUUGAUAAUCUCUGUGAUGGGCAUAGAAAUAUUCUUGGGCUGAAAUAACAGUCUCCCAUCAUACCCCUUUCAUCAAAUUUAGGUUAUGGUCAUGCCUUGUUCAUUUCAUCGGGCCAUGAUCUACUUGGCUCUCUACUUGUAUCCUUCUUAAAGGUGGAGUCUCUUUCGUAUCUUGUCAUCCUUGCUUGGUCUAUGUGUGCCACAUAAGGUUUUUCAUUGGUUGAGCUUGGUAAUGGCGUUAUGACUAAAACUGACGGUGCCGCGACGAAACCGAGGGCCUCCUGUGGGUAUACACCCACGGUUGUGCUGCUCGACACGCGCUGGUAUCACGGUUAGUAGUUGUAAUCCAUUAGGAAGCUAUAUCAAUGUGUUAUCUGGGCACAAUCUUUUUACGCUAUGUGAGAUUCAUUAUUGGUGCCAGUUCGGUGAUGGUGUCAUGAAUAAGGACUUAUGGUGCCGCAGCGAAACUGAGAGCCCCUUGUGAAUGUACACGCAAGGUUAUGCUGCUUGGCGCAUGCUGGUAUCGAGGUCUUUGGUCAUGAUCCAUUAUGGAACUACAUUAAUAUGUUAUAUUUCGUGGACUUUUCCCUUGAAACGAAUUUUGUGUCGUUUGCUGAAACAAUCCAACAACAUAUGCCAUCACUGUUGAAUCAAAAGAGUAUAUAACUCUAAUGUAUUCCUUGGUAAAUUUUCUACCCAUUCAGAAAUCUCCAACAAAAAUCAAAACCUAUCUGUGUUUGGAUCAUGUGAUAAAAAUCCAUCUUCGCAUGUGUGGUCGCAUGUCUUUUGACUCAAGUGGUGACUGCACACAUACAAGUUCCCUUUGCAUCCUUUAUUGUAAAGGUGAAGCCUUGAAGCUUUUUAGUGUUGGGAGAUAACUGAUUAGUUCUCAAAAUGGAGAUUGACUUCCCUUGCUGCUGAAUGCAGGAUUUUGUUCAUUCACCUCCUUAUUGGAUUGGUACAUCUAAUACACAUGUUAGUUUGUCUCAUUUGGAGGAGAUGAAUAAAUAAUCUGAUCAACUGAAUCCUUAUCCAAAUGCAUGACCUCGUACUCGUAAAUGUAAACUCCCAACCUCUGGUUUGUCGACGGGUAAUAAGAGGACUUGCUCAAUGUCAAAAGUAGUUCAACAAGUUGGUUUUACUAACUUGUAACUGCCCAAUGAACAAAGGUGAUGUUGUUCGACAUCCGCAUCUGUCUCAUGUGCCAUAGAAUUCCAACGCCGACUUAUCGACGAACCUCUUUCUUUGUGUCUUACCAAAAAUGUUGCAUCCUAUUCGAUAUAGACAAUUGCUAUUCACAUGUCCACUGUUCUCUCAACAGACUCAUGUUAUCAGAAAAAGCAAACUGCACACAUGGAGUCUUAUGUGUCCUUCUAACAGAUGUCGUCUCUAUUGAUGGACAUCACUAAUUAGCUUAAAAUGAUACAUGCUAUACCCACUUGAAGAACCAACAUCUUGGAGUACUCAUCUCUACUCGGAACAGUCUUAUGCUAUCACUAUUAUGGACAGGGUUACACGCCUCUCUACUCUUAGAAGUCUUUCGUUCUGAAUCUCGGGACGAGAUUCUUUUAAGGGGGGAAGGUUGUAACACCCUAGGUGUUUAUCGUCUGCUCGACCACUAGUGCGGACGUUAACACGUGAUAGCUGUGAAUGUAAAGGUCACUAAUUUUUAAUCAACCUCGUUUAUCAAGAUUUUGAUAUCGUGUCUGCCUCCGCCUAUCUAAAUUUUUCCAAAUCUAUUUCUUUUAAAAUUUAGCCUUUGGUAAUCUUCGGAACAUCGAAUCCAGUAUCGUUUGGGUUGGGCCCUCGACGUCUUGCAUAAACUAUAAUUUUUGAAAUCAAAUGUAGCUUCUUAAACUUGAUUUGAAAUUCUUUCACGCUUGCGUUGCACGUGUCUCUCUGUGGCCUGACAUCGUGACGCGUGUGGCGAGUGCUAACCGGCGUCUGGACAGCGCCCAACCUCUCGCCCCGUGAACGAUGCGUGACGUCGUGUAACACUCGAAAACCUAUUGUAGGAUUUAUAGGAGUUUUUUUUUCAGAAAGUUUGAGUAAAACAAAAUGUCUUUUAAUAUAUUCCUCUUUUUACAAUGUAUAUCUCCCUAAAGUAAAUGGAUACUAAUAUUAAGGGUUGAUAUUCAAAACCUAGGUACAAAGAAACUAGAAUAUGAGUUUCUACAUAAUUAAAAUAUUGUGCAUAUAUAUAUGCAUUCAUGCUAGCACUUUGGUUGAGUAUUUGAGUUUAAGUGUCAAGUUUAAAACAAAGAGUGAAUAAAUAUAAAGUAUAUAUAUCUUUCAGUCAAAGUAAGUAAGAAACAAAUAUUCAUUCUUGAAUUAACGACCACUCAUCAUAUUUCUUUCUUCUAAAACAAACAAUAAGUAAAUUUAUAUGAUUUGGAACAUCUACUUAAGGAAGAGUAAUAAUAAGCAAAUAUAUAUUUUUGCAUUUGCAUACUGGAAUUUUGUUGGUGCUUUUGAAUAAGAGUUUGAAUUUUAAAGCUAGAUUUAAAUUGAAUUUGAAGUUUGAAAAUUGGAGAAAUAAACAGAAAGACCUCACUGGGCCGAUUUCUUUUCCCCCGCGGCCCAUCUCCUCCUUUUCCCUUCUCUUCACCGCGCCGACCCAACUCUGCUUUCUAAGCCCAACCGACCCAUCAUUCCCACAGCCUUUUCUUUUUCUCCGGUGUGUAUGGCGCGUGGGCCCCGCGUGGUCAGCACCAUCUCCUACCUGUGGCGACCGACACCACUGGAUCCACCGCAACAGACGCCGCGUGCUUCGUGCGAUCUUCUCGAACCCCCGCGGACCCCGCGUUUCAGCUGGUUGAGGCCUGGCCGAGGCUCCCUCUCCGGCUAUAAAUGGAAGCCGCGGCCCCCCCUUCUUCAUCCUCUCGGAACAUCGCGUCGUGUGCCACUUUGUCGCCGUGAGCCACAACAAACUCAACUCGAAACAAACUCCGAACCCCACCCCAUGAUCCCCUCUGGCCGAAUUCCGCCGCGACGCUAUAAAGCACGAGGAUUAUGACCCCCCAACCAGCCGAAGCCGUGUAUAGCUUGGUGUCGUAGGCGCAUGGAUGGGGGGUGCAGGGAGAUGUGAUUGCCGCUGCCGCCAUCGAUCCUGCCCAUGGGCGAUCCUUCGGCCUCGACGGGUGGUACUGGGGCAUCGAAGGAUCCCGCCGCGCACAUAUGUGGCCUUGUCGUGCGUGAACCCCGGGCGGGAGACCAACAAUUUCACGCCGAUGCUCACCCUGUCCACCAAUCCACAACAUGUCGUGGGCGGGCAUACUCACUGGUGUACUCUCGGUAAUAUGCUAUUGAUCGCAUUUGUUACCUUCCGGUCUUCGCUUGGCAGCUUUUGGGGGAUCGAUUAGGCCACUGUUUCGUCGUUGUUUGGUGCACCGGCGAGGUGCCGCCGUGGAGAUUCCUGUUCACCGCGAUGGUUGAUCGGUGAGCAAGGGGAUGGGUCUGGUGCCAUUGGAUUGUUGGCGUGCGGCUGCGAUUGGAUGGAGGAUAAGGCUUCGGCCGGGAAUAUCUGUACCGUCUGAUCUAAUCGAGCGGUUGGUGUGAAAUGUGGCGUCAUGAAAAUCCUAACUGUGGGUCUCGGGAUCGACGGUCUAUAACGCAUGCCAUUUUGAUGAAGCUCUAAUCUAAUUCGAACCGCAUAUAUCAUAUCCUACGGCUGAUACUGGGUGAUACCCCUUCGGUCCACCCCUUUUGCUAAUAAGCCCCUGCGCUUACCAGAAACUAACCCGCCAUCCACGUGCGGGGUGGGUAUGAGUCUUGGAGAAAUAUACGAAAUAGCCCCUGGUCUUUCACAGAAUAGUGGCCCAGUCCAAUCAUUGAAUAAAAGGGAUAAAACAAUUCAGAAAAUGGUUUUUAGUUUAGAAAUAAAUUCAGAAACUUGUAUAAUUCAUAUCAAACUCAUUUUAACUCAAAAUUGAGUCAUUCCAGUUGCAUUAAUUUUGUUUUAAUAUUGUCUACCACUUAGUACCUAUGUUUAGCAAUGAAAUAUGAAUUAAAAUUAUUUAUCUGAAUUAAUCUAUACCAUAUACUCAAUAACUCUAGAAAUUCGUAACUUGAUAACCGUAGCUCCGAUUUUGGUGAUUCUCGAUCCCACGAUCUCGUAGCUUCACGUAGAUUAUUAUUACACAAUUUAAUCUCAUGUUUGGUGUGAUGUUAAUUUUGUCUACACAUCUUUGUUUGUACUGCUACGACUAGCGUGAGGUCACGAGUCAUCUGAAGAGCAAGUUGGUACCUGGAAUCUCAAGUCCCAGGCAAGUUGUGCCCUUGAUCACUUCUUUUUACCCAGUCAUGUUCUUAUUAAUCAUAAUGAUCUGCAUAGGUUAAUUUUGAUGGGACCCAAUAGGUUACCCUAGAUUUUGACUAUCUUUACACCUUGUUUCACCACUGGUUUUACUACUAAUUUUUUGGGUAGUACAUGCUAUUGCUUUAUGUGGUUUUGGAUAUAGAGAUAUUCACUACUUAUGAUUACACUUUUUAUUAUCUAUUCAUUAUUUACUAUUCAUGAUAAGAUCAUUAUGUUAAUGGGAACAUGGAGAACCACCCGGGAAAACAGUGCUACCACAAGUGUUUAUGGACGCCCUUGGCUGAUUAACUAGGAAAGCUAGUGGAUGAUUACCUUACCCGAAAGGGGCAAGGGCAGUAGGGGAGUGGUCAGUGUAGGGAGGUCCUUGGUUGAUUUUGCUGCGAUGGCGGUCAGUCGAGGGACUCCUGCACUGGAGCUUCCUAUAAACUGUAGCGGGUUUUCUGAAGCUAGUGGAACUUUGUAAAGGCCUCGUAGUGUUACCCUGCCUCGCCUCCUCGAUAGAGGUGUAUGGGAUUGGCCGUCUCUUGGCAGAUGGGUAACAUGACUUGUGGGUAAAGAUGUGCAACCUCUGCAGAGUGUAAAACUUGUAUACUAGCCGUGCUCACGGUCAUGAGCAGCUCGGACACUCACAUGAUUAAAUUAUGGAACUUAAACUCAAUUUGUCAUAUGCAUUGCAUCGCAGGUGAGGUUGUUACUUUUGUUCUGCUACUUAAUUGGGCUGGUAUUUACUUAUACUUAGUAAUUGCUAAUAAAAUUUUGACCAACUUUAAAAGCAACGCUCAGCUCUAACCAUCCUCUUUGGUAAGCCUUACACUUCACGUGAGCUCUCACCUUUGGCGAGUUCAUGCACAUUAUUCCCCACAACUUGUUGAGCAAUGAACGUAUGUGAGCUCACUCUUGCUGUCUCACACCCUCCACAAGUCAAGAACAGGUACCACAGGAUGAGGCACAUGGAGGAUGCUGUGAUGAGUUCGUGAGUGGUCUAGGUCGUCGUCUCCCAGUCAACUUUGGGUUGCUGGACCGUUGUCUCCUUAUAAUGUACUUAUUUAUUUAUUUUGUACAAAACUCUUAUUAUAUAGUAAAGAUGUGACAUUCGAUCCUGUGCCAUGAUUCAUCAUAUGUGUGAGACUUGGUCCCAGCACACCUGGUGAUUAUGUUCGCGCCCGGGUUUUGGUGCCCCGAAAUCCAGGUGUGACACGUCGCUACCGAAAGAAUCACACUUUCGAUGCCGCAUUGAUCUCGUGUAUUUAUUUCGCGAUAUGUCGAGUCUUGUGCCUGUUUAAAAUUUAUAGAUUAAGAGAAUACAAAUUCGGAAGCCCGACCUACACUGAUGAUUUUUAUCCCGAACAAACUAAACAGAACUCGACGAUUAAAGUUUUUAGAUGUAAAGUAAUUUAGUCCCUUCUCGUCAAGCGAGACAUAGUGUCUGAAAUCAUGGUUGGUUUCCAGCAAAUUAUCCUCGGUGGAAGGAUUAGGUGUCGAGUUGCAGAUGAAAUUAUCUGAUUUUAAGUCGUAUGAAAUAUAGUUUAAAAUAUCGGUCUCAAUCUCAUUUGGUUCAGUCUAUUUGCAUCUUAUUCGAACCCGAUAUUAUCUGAGGCAGAGAGAUGAACGUUUGAUUUUAUUGUAGAUAAUACUAGAUCCAAAAUUAUAAUCCGAUAAUAUUUUGGUUUAGUUCAUUCUCAUUGUGUCGACACCCUAAUUCCAAAACCAUAUGAACCAGAUUUGUAAAGAUGUUUAUUGUAAAAAACAAUGGAGAAGAUAAAUCCAAUUGUUGAUUAAACCAACGUGUGACCCUCACCUCUAUCCCCAUCGCCAGCACUAGUGCUGCGUGGCUCAAAUUCCAGAAUCGAGAUUGUCGUCCUCCCACGCGUCUCUCUCUCUCCCAGGCUUCAAUCUUCAGCCGCCGCUUUUCUAUUGGAUAUUUUUACUCACACCGUUCAACAGGUGCCUGAAAAUCAGCCUCACGUCUCUUUCUCCCAGUCUGUUUCUCCCAGUCUGUAGCAGCCACCUAGCUCCUUGCGUCUUCCAUGGUCGCUUAUCCAGCAUUCCUCCAGCUUGGUCCUGGCCCCAGCGCGGACGUGGGCAUGCCCUGCAGUUGCGCUUCUUCCCCAGCGUCGGUCGUCGUUCACUAUGCUCGGCCUCAGUUUCUUCCAUGGCCGUGCACGAAGCUCCUCUGCUGGCCGCGUCUCUUCUUCCCCGCAAUUUCCUGGCGUCUGCACAUCUCUAGGCCACGCGGGCAAGCUCCCUGCAGCAGCUCGCCAUGGCCGCCGCGCCCCUGGUCCCUGCUCGCCCAGGCCGCGACCUCGCCAAACCGCACAAUCCCUGCUCUCUUUCCCUGGCCGCGCUCAGCCCAACCCUUCCUCCCUCGCCGUAGCUCACAGAUCGCCACCCCAUGGCUGCUGCUCCUCUCUCCCUCAUCUCUGCAACUCGGCGCCACCUCUGCUCGCCCCUCUCUGUCUCUGUGCGAGUAGCAGCACGCUGGGGCAGACCUAUGUCCACGACGCGCACCAGAUGUUUGAUGAAUUGUGUGAACCAGAUCCGUCGUUGGUUUGGUGAGCUAUUUUACUGCUUCCACUAGUCGACUUAGAGAAGGAUUGCUUAAGCAUGUUGGCUGCAAUAAUUCUUUAGUAGUUGCAUAUGUGUUGUUAUUAUAUCAAAUAUUUAUUAAGAUGCCUCCUCCUAUGAAGUGUGUGUUUAUACUCAUAAUUGUGGAGUAGACAUAUCAUCUUGGUUGAGUGAAGUUUAGGUUGAGAUGCAGGUUAUGUGAAGCUUAAUAGAAUUGAUUCUAGAAAUAUAUGAUGUGUUGGCUUUCUUAAUUAUUUAGUCAAGUGUGCUGUAGUUGUUUGGUAAAGUUUAGAUUUAAAGUGUAAAAUAUGCGAAGAGUAUGAGUAGUCAUAUAUUGGAUGUGUAGUUAAAUUAAUAAUGCAAAGCCUAGGUUUAUUAUUUUAUCCGGCUAGUCGACAGGUUCUAACGAUAUUGUCGUGCUGAUUUGGUUUAAUUAAGCACGAUGAAACUUUGCUAGUAGUCAUUAGAUUCUAUGUUUAGCGAACAAUUAGAUGUCUUGAAUUAAUGUUGCUUGUUGUCUCGAGUGUCUAAAAAUGAGUACUAUUGUUAAACUAAAUGCUGUUUGGGACUGCAUGAGCAGUUUUAAUUAUACAGCUAGUUUAGCAAAGUAAAUUAUGUUUUCUGUGAAAGUGUUAUAUAGAAAAGUUAUAGAUAACUCCUUUAUCUUGCUUGUGCUAAAAUUUCAUGACCAUAGAACUAGUAGUUUAGGAGUUAUGAUUUUUCCAAGUCCAGUUUCAGAAUCUGUCCAGAUUCUGUACUGAUUUCGAAAAUUGCUUUGUUUGACUAAAUUAAACUUAGAAUCAGACGUUAGUAAUUAUAGAAGAAUUGUAGUACUUUUCUUAAGGUUUCCAACAGAUUUUGGAUCACCCUUUUUGGUGAUCUAUAAAUUAAGUUACAGCUGUUUGAGUUAGUAUCUCUGAAUCUGUCCAAAUCUGGACAGCAAUGUGUGUUUGAAUUAACUGACUUUGAUACACAUUGAAUCACCUUGAGAUGAUCAUAAAUGAAUUGUAGAUAAUUCUAUUAGCUUUCUAAAAAGUCUAGGAUCACCUGAUUUGGAUGCCUGAAACUCCAGUUAUGAAUUUUUGAAGUAAGUAGUCGAAUUCUGUCCAAAUCUGGACAGAAUUUAGGUUUAGUAUUGUUUGACCAUUCUAAGUGUCAAGUCUUACUGUGAUGAUAAUACAAAAGUUGUAGAUGACUUCUCCUUUAUGUGACAUUAUUUAGUCUUGUUAUUUCCAUGUAUAAUCAUUCAUGUGCAUUAUGCAUAUCAUUCAGGUUCGUUAAUUGAUCACGUGAUACGGAUGACAAGAGCCGAGUUGAUCCCAAAAUGAUGCUGGUGAACGAACCUGAAGCUUGGAUGAUCUGGUCAAGUACCAGGAUGAGAUAUGCUCUCCAAGCGGACGUCAUCUAACAACACUGACUUAGUGUUAUCCCAGGCAAGCCCGGUGCAUUUGCCACCUCCUUGUUGUUUUAAAACUUUUAUCACUUAUAUGUCGCAUUAGGAGAUAGGAGUUGAGUGAUGAAACCGUUGAUGCAUUGCCAUUCCUUGGAAUUUGAUUAUCCUCCUUGAUACCUGUUUUACAAAAAGAACUAAUAAGGCUUAGCCCUGCCUAGAGAAUUAAAACU